UCUUGAUACUUUUGUUUUAUUUUUGAGACAGGAGUUCUGCUAUGUACUUCAGGUUGGCCUUGAGCUGACUAUGUAGCCCAAGCUGGCCCCUAACUCAUGGCAGUCUUCCUGCCUCAGCCUC
rnacentral:miRNA from 1 species